CCCCAAUCCUCACCACCACUAGGGUUUUAGCGCCACCGUAGUCGGCUAGUCGCCAGAUCUUGCUAAUUACUUCUCAUGCAUUUCCGCCCCUAGCAUAUCACAAAAUGGGCGGCGCCACCAGGUUCCUCCUGCUUCUCACCAGCACCCCUCCGUCCCCGCUGCUCCCCCGCCGAUGCCCAGCUUUCCUCAGCUUCUCCCGCCAUCGUCACUUAUUCCCGUCNNNNNNNNNUCAUCUUCCUCCUACCUUCCUCACCACCACUACCGUAACCUCCCUUCUUCUCUCUCUCACUCUCUUGGUCGCCCCUUAAAAAUCGAAGCCUCCCACCAACUACACACCCAAACCGCCUCCGCCAAUUUCACUGAACCUUCCUCCUCCUUACCUCGGACCCCCCACCCGUGGCCUGAGUAUUACAAUUUAAUCCAUAAUCUCUCUUCUGCUGGGUAUUUUAAUAGGCAUAAAUUUGGUAUCCAAAUUGAUUUAGAGUUUGUGGCAGGCUUUAAUUUGCCAGAGGAUUUUGCAGAUGCUGCCACUGCUUGCUUGGCAUUCGCGCGCGAAAGGCCUGAUCUUUUAGGGAUGCUGUCGAGGAAAGAUAUUGAGGUGGUUGUUGAGCAAGGGAUGCCCUUUUUAUUUAAAAAUGGCGAUGGCUCACGAAGGAGGAUGAGGUCAUUUUUGGGCAGUGGCGAUAGUAAUGUGCAGAAUACAGAUAGAGCUCACACUAUUGACUUGAUGAGGUUUUUAUUAAGUUAUGCAAGCAGUCUUGUUUCUUUUGAGAAGAACAAUAUACCCAAUAGAGAACUUGUGGAAUCAUCUGUUAGGAAUCUCUUGAGUGAAUUGGCCCAGCUGAGCUAUGCUCCAGCCUCAAACCCAUCUGUGUCAGUGCAAAAUCAGUUCCCAGAUAGAUAUGGACAAGCACCAAGGCCUCUUGGUCAAAACAUUGAAAUGAAAAGAGGUGAUUGGAUUUGCCCAAGGUGCAAUUUCAUGAAUUUUGCAAGGAAUGUGAAAUGCCUUGAAUGUGAAGAAGCGCGCCCAAAGAGGCAGCUUACUGGUGGGGAGUGGGAGUGUCCUCAAUGUGAUUUCUUUAAUUAUGCAAGGAACAUGGUAUGCUUAAGGUGUGAUUGCAAGAAGCCUGGAGAGGUUUCAUUUGGUACUAAUUCUGGAUCAGGUCUGAGGUAUGCCAAUGGGAGCAACACAAAUAAGGCUGAUGUGGAUAGCAGGCUGGCUGCCAACGAAGAGAAGGCACAACGAUGGUUUAGCAAAAUUUCUCAGUUGGAUAGUUCCUUCAGACAUGAGCAGUGCCAUAGCUGAUGAAGAUUUCCCUGAAAUCAUGCCAUUGAGGAAAGGAGUCAACAGAUUUGUUGUCAGCACAAGGAAGACUCCACUUGAAAGGAGGCUGGCCAAUGCCCAGUAUCGAAGAAACUUGGGUAAUGAUGGCACUUUUGAGGGUGGUGGUCUUCAAAGCUCGCAAUCAAUCAAGAAAAGUUUAGAUGAGAUGUUGGGUCAUGAUACUGCUGCUUCUGAAUCAGAUAACAAGACUCUCAGUGCUGGUCAAAAUGCAGGAACAAAUGCUCCAUCUUCUGCGACUAAUUCAACUUCACCACAGUAUGGUGCCCCCAGGGGAAGCAAUUAUGUUCCAUUUGUGCCACUACCUGCAGAUAUGUUUGCCAAGAAACCUGAUGAAUUGAAGAUGGGUAAGAGCGAUAAGUCGGAGAUGGACAAUAAGUGCCUUUCUUCAAGCACUUGUGAGCAGGCAGAUGCAGUUUCUGGAAGAAAAGAACAUGGUAUAUUAUCAGGCAGUUGGCAGCCCUCUGAGAAGCCUGUGGACCAGACUCUGAGCG
rnacentral:misc_RNA from 1 species